rnacentral:lncRNA from 1 species
GAGAUCGUCCACAACUCUGAGUACGACUCCUGGAUUGCGAAAGCUCAGCAUGUACUAAGCUACCUGCUGAAUUCUCUCGCCAAGGGUGCAUUAGCACUGGUAGCAACAGCAACCAUAGCAGCAGAAGCAUGGGGGGCGCUUGAGAGGAUAUUCUCGAUGCACUCCAAUGUGCAUUAGCACUGGUGGCAACAGCAACAAUAGCAGCAGAAGCAUGGGGGGCGCUUGAGAGGAUAUUCUCGAUGCACUCCAAGGCGCGGAUUAAAAAUAUGUGCAUCCUACUCUCCACAACCAAGAAGGGUAACAUGUGCUCCUCAGCCUAUUUCACCAAGAUGUGUUCUUUCAAAGAUGAACUAAC